GUGAAUCAUCGAAUCUUUGAACGCACCUUGCGCUCCUUGGUAUUCCGAGGAGCAUGCCUGUUUGAGUGUCAUUAAAUUCUCAACCUCUUCCAUUUUUAUUAAUGGGUUAGGCUUGGAUGUGGGGGUUGCGGGCUUCUAAGAAGUCGGCUCUCCUUAAAUGCAUUAGCGGAACCUUUGUGGACCGUCUUUGGUGUGAUAAUUAUCUACGCCAUGGUCGAGAAGCAGUUUUACAUGGGGUUCAGCUUCUAACUGUCUAUUUAUUUGGACAACUUUUGACAUUUUGACCUCAAAUCAGGUAGG
rnacentral:misc_RNA from 1 species